rnacentral:miRNA from 1 species
AAGAUCUUCGUCGGUGGUAU